rnacentral:rRNA from 1 species
AGGGUGUAAACGCUGCAGACUUGAUGUUGGAGGCCCUUUGGGGGCAUUCAGUGCCGGAGAGAAGUUGUUAAGUCUGCUACUUGGGGAGUACGUCCGCAAGGAUGAAACUUAAAGGAAUUGGCGGGGGAGCACCGCAACGGGAGGAGCGUGCGGUUUAAUUGGAUUCAACACCGUAAAACUCACCAGGGAAGACUGUUACAUGAAGGCCGAGAUGAAGACUCUGCUAGAUUUUCAGAGAGGUGGUGCAUGGCGUCAGUGACU